rnacentral:hammerhead_ribozyme from 1 species
AGUAGCUGACGAGUCCCGAAUAGGACGAAAUGCGCAUCCUGAAU